AGCUGAGCUUCUUUCAGAGGUAAAUGGCAACCUUGAGAAGAAUAUAGAACAGCUGCAGAAAGAUCAGGAAGGGUUAAAGCAUGUUGUUCAAAAUAAAGAGUCUGAAAUAUGUGAGAUUCAAGAACAGUUAUCUGCUGCUCUUGGAAAGGAGGGAGUCUCUUUGGAAGAAGUAGAUAAUUUAAAGAUGAUCCUCGCACAAAAAGAGAAAAGCUAUGAAGAGUUAACUUCAAGUUUUAGCAAGCUUCUACUUGAUCAAGAACAACUUUCACAGGAGAAAAAGAAUAUAGUUGUUGAGGUCAAAAACCUUGAAAAACAGCUAAAGGUAUGCAAAUUUAACUCAGGCUGUGCUAAAUUGAAAGUCAUUUCAAAAGUUUAUGGUCAUUGGAGUAUGUUGCAGAAAACGUGUAUGUAAUUCCUUUGCUAAACAUUGAGCCCCAUAUAUUUAUCAUAAAACAAGUCUAGCAGCUGUAACCAAUAUAUUACCACUUGACACCACACAAUGGAAACAGCUCAGCUUGGCAGACAGGUUACACAUUUUGCCAAGUUCUCCCUGAUUAGUAUACUUAUUUCAAUUAACCAUACAUUAAAAGUACCUUUGAAUUUAUUCUGAAAUUCAGGCCAGUAAGCAAAAUGAAGGAAAGGCUAGGAAGGAAAUUGAGAAGCUAGAAGAAGAAAACAACAAACUCAGGCAAGUUUUUGUUUGACUUCUAGCAACAGUACUGUAUUAUGCAUAGUACUGUCAGUUUAGAAUAGGGGAUGCUCAGUGAUGAAAUAAAUCUAUUGUUUUGCUUAUUGUCAGAGAGGAAAUUGAAUCGUUAAAGGAAAACAUUGAACAGAAUGGUGUGGACACAGAAAACAAACUAGAAGAGCAUGAAGAAAAUGUAAGACUAGAUGAGUAUUAGACAACAAUACCUGAGAUUGCAUUCUCCCACUGGGGGAAAGAAGUUCUCCUUGUGGUGCUUUAAGGACAGUACAAUCCUACAUAACCAAGCUCUGAGGUCUCUGGAAGGUACUUUAAUGCCACAUUGGAAAUGUAAGAUGUAGGGUCACAUUUUAACAAUCUCGAUUUUUUUCUUUUUAGUAAUAGCCUGGAAACAAAGAGGAGCAUGGAUAGCUCAGUAAUGAAAUAUAAUAAAAUACUGUUCUGCUUGAUUUAUUAAUGUCACAUUCAGUGCUGCUUAAUGGGAAAUGACUUCAGUGACAGAGACCUUAUCAUGUGUAUUCCUAGAGUCAAUCUUUAUUUUAUUUGUGUAUUAUUAUCACAGAAUAAAAGUUUGCACAAUGAACUUGCUGAAAAGGACAGGCAGCUCAAGACAGUGGAGACAAAGGUAAAAGACUUCAUGUUGAUGCCUACAUUAACAUUUCUAUGUAUUCCUGUAUAUCUUAUUGAGUGUGUAAAAUUAUGGACACAAGAUUCACAGCAACAUUUACAACCUAUUAAUCUAUUUGAAAUAAUAUCGUUUGUAACCCCUAGGAGGUUUACAGUGGUUUUAUUGUGAAACAAUAAGCUUAAAGGAGUCAACGUUAAAAGACACCAGGGUUUGAAAUCUAUACUGCUUUAAAUAACCAAAACACAAGCCUUUUGUAAAAUAAUUGUGCUGUCUGAGAUAGUAAAACUGCUGCUUAUCUUUUUAGCUAAACAAUCUGAAAAAGCAAAUGGAAAAUAAGAGCAAAUCUCACGAAGAGCUGCAGCAAGAGAUUAAGAAUUUAAAAAGAAAAAUGGCAACAGACAGCAAAGCGUGCAGUCAAUUUGAAGCUGAGGUAAAUGAAUUAAAAAUGGAGCGUGAAAAUGUGCAAAGACAGCAUGAUGAUGAAAUGAAGAAUCUUCAGAAGGAUUUUGAAGCCAAAACGGUUUCUGAAGCAGAACUUUAUGAGGAGGUAUUUUCUAUUAUUGUUGAUUUUUAUAGCCACACAUUUUCUGAAAACACUACGCUAUAUAUUAGUGUGCUAUUGCGCACAUAGCCAGUAUAUUUUGGUGUUAGUUUCUCAAAUAAUACAAUAAAAAAUGAUUCUUGCAAAUAAAAUCAUGACAUUAAAAACAAGUCAACGUUGGGAACUUCCACAGGUACAGAAGCUAAAGCUUACAGCUGAUGAAGCAGUGAAGAAGCAGAAGGAAACUGAAAUCAAAUGUCAGCACAAGACAGCUGAAAUGGUUGCUUUAAUGGAAAAGCACAAGGUAAAACGUGUGAUUAUAGGUGAUCGAAACAGGCACCGAGAGCUAUUGCUUUUGGGAGAGGCAUUUUAAUGACCUGUGGUAUUUACUCGUGUUUUUGUAAAAUGUCAGAACCAGUAUGAUAAGAUGGUGGAAGAAAAAGAUGCUGAACUGGAGCAGCAGAGGAAAAAAGAAAUGGAAAAAAUUGCAAAUAGAACUUCACUGGAACAGGAAUUGUCCCGGAUCAAUAAUGAACUGUCAUAUUUCAAACAACAACUUCAAACUGUGAAAAAAGAAAAGGUCAGUCUAUAUAUUUUGCAUACAAUUUGAUGCUCCAGUUUUAUGAUUUUAGAUGCUAACUUCAUAUUGUUGUUAAUCUCAACUCAUUUUUAUGUAAUACGUUAUCUUUUCAUUGCAGGAAAAGAUAGAAAAAGAAGCUAAAGUAUUGAAAGAAAAUAUCAAGUUUUUGAAAGAAAAACUGAAAAAGAGGGAUAUUAUGGAACAAGAAGUCAGAAUCUUCCAGGAGAACCUGCAGUCUACAGAGGAAGAGACUGAGAGAAAGGCAAGAUUUAUGGAUACAGCAGUUUCGACUAAAUAUACUGGAUACUGAUUGACUUUCAGUAAUUUAAAUGAUUUUUUAUUUUUUUUUACUAACCUCUAAUCCUAAAAUUGUGUUACAUUUUAGACGCAGGACACAUACCCCCAAAAGAGCAGUUUUAGUUUAGGAAGCAGAAAGACUACUCCUUGCAAUAAAACUGCGGGGAGUGCUUUGCUGAAACCUGCAAAGAAAGGAGAAAAGGUUGAACCUGCCAUGCAUACACCUGUAUGGACCCCAGCCAGAAAAAUGCAAGCUACUCCGAAUGUAAAGAGUUACACAAUACGGACACCGCCUCCUUCUGCUGGGCAGUCAGUGCAGAAAGGAAUAUUCACCCCAAUGGUCGAUGAAACAUUAAAGAAAAAGAGAAAAGUUGCCCUGGAUCUUGAUAUGCAGUCUAACAGCUCUGAGAAGAGUGAUUUGCUGGUAAAGGUAUAUAUAUAUAUAUAUAUAUAUAUAUAUUGUGAAAGAUCCUUUCACUUUUCACAUUCGUUGCC